rnacentral:rRNA from 1 species
AACGAACGCUGGCGGCGUGGAUUAGGCAUGCAAGUCGAACGAGAAAGUCACUUCGGUGGCGAGUAAAGUGGCGAAAGGGCGAGUAAUGCGUGGACAAUCUACCCUCAAGAUGGGGAUAAUCACCCGAAAGGGUGACUAAUACCGAAUGUGGCGCUGAGAUCGCAUGUUUUUGGCGCUAAAGGUGGGGACCUUCGGGCCUACCGCUUGGGGAGGAGUUCACGUUCUAUCAGCUAGNGGUGGGGUAACGGCCCACCAAGGCAGCGACGGAUAGGCGGCCUGAGAGGGUGGUCGCCCGCACUGGGACUGAGACACUGCCCAGACUCCUACGGGAGCUGCAGUCGAGAAUCAUUCUCAAUGAGCGAAAGCUUGAAGAUGCGACGCCGCGUGGGGGAUGAAGGCCUUAUAGGUUGUAAACCCUAGUCUCGAGUGAAGAAGUUCAUCUGCGAUAACAUC